CGGGGCUCGGGGCUGGGGCUCGGGGCUGCGCGGGAACGGAGCCCAGCGGGCGGCAGGAGGGGCCCUGCCCCGGGACCCGCUCGGGGGAGUUCCCCGCCGGAGGCUCGUUUGCUCUCCAGGAGGGAAAAAAAAAAAAAAAAAAAAAUAGAAAAGAAAAGAAAGAAACCGUUCGGGACACAAAGUCUGCCACGUUUCCGACCCAACCAACCUCAAACCUUCCAGGUAGCGAUCGGCUCCGCUGCCCGCACCGGCGUGUUGGGCUCGGCACCGCGGCCGCCCUUCUGGAAGAGUCUCGCAGAACUGAGGCGGAGGGAAACCAACACAGAAGUGGCUCGAAAAGCGCGAUGGCAAAUGAUUAAUCAAAUCCGAGCCAGGAAGGCGGAGAAGAUGGCAGAAGUUAGCUGGACUUAAUGCAGCCAGAUGGAGAAGAGUGCUUGAGGGCUCUCUGUGCUGUACUCCAUUUUCAGGCCACCACUCGUCUACUGCUCCAGGCAGAAGAGCUGGCCCCAAACCCACUGAAAUAAGUCGUUCUCUGGAGCACCCAGGUAAGCAGCAUGUUGUGCUGGGGGAGGCACAGCGUGCCAG
rnacentral:lncRNA from 1 species